rnacentral:rRNA from 1 species
UAGGGAAUCUUCCGCAAUGGACGAAAGUCUGACGGAGCAACGCCGCGUGAGUGAAGAAGGAUUUCGGUUCGUAAAACUCUGUUGUUAGGGAAGAAAAAAUGUAUAGUAACUAUAUACAAAAGAGACGGUACCUAACCAGAAAGCCACGGCUAACUACGUGCCAGCAGCCGCGGUAAUACGUAGGUGGCAAGCGUUGUCCGGGAUUAUUGGGCGUAAAGCGCGCGCAGGUGGUUUAGAAAGUCUGAUGUGAAAGCCCACGGCUCAACCGUGGAGGGUCAUUGGAAACUAAUAAACUUGAGUGCAGGAGAGAAAAGUGGAAUUCCUAGUGUAGCGGUGAAAUGCGUAGAGAUUAGGAGGAACACCGGUGGCGAAAGCGGCUUUUUGGCCUGCAACUGACACUGAGGCGCGAAAGCGUGGGGAGCAAACAGG